rnacentral:rRNA from 1 species
CGUGUGUGCCGUGUCGUGUUUGUCAUCCUUCCAGAGAGCUGCGUCUACCAUUCACUUGGCCGGACGUACGCGAUCUGGAUCGAUUACUUUGAAAAAAUUAGAGUGUUUAAAGCAGGCUUACGCUGUGAAUACAUUAGCAUGGAAUAAUAAUUUAGGACUUCGGUUCUAUUUUGUUGGUUUCUAGGACUGAAGUAAUGAUUGAUAGGGACAGUUGGGGGUGCUAGUAUUCCGCGGCCAGAGGUGAAAUUCUUGGAUUCGCGGAAGACUAACUACUGCGAAAGCAUUCACCAAGGAUGUCUUCUUUAAUCAAGAACGAAAGUUGGGGGAUCGAAGACGAUCAGAUACCGUCGUAGUCUCAACCAUAAACUAUACCGACCAGGGAUCGGCGGAUGUUGCUUAUAGGACUCCGCCGGCACCUUAUGAGAAAUCAAAGUUUUUGGGUUCCGGGGGGAGUAUGGUCGCAAGGCUGAAACUUAAAGGAAUUGACGGAAGGGCACCACCAGGAGUGGAGCCUGCGGCUUAAUUUGACUCAACACGGGAAAACUUACCAGGUCCAGACAUAGUGAGGAUUGACAGAUUGAAGAUCUUUCUUGAUUUUGUGGGUGGUGGUGCAUGGCCGUUCUUAGUUGGUGGAGUGAUUUGUCUGCUUAAUUGCGAUAACGAACGAGACCUUAACCUGCUAAAUAGCCCGUAUUGCUUUGGCAGUACGCUGGCUUCUUAGAGGGACUAUCGG